rnacentral:lncRNA from 1 species
GAGAUGGAAUUUAUAUAUGAAACAGACUACUGGCCUAGGUACAGAAGACAGUUUUUGGAACGUAUCCACAUAGAAGUGGAGAAGGCACUGCAAGGGAAAUGCCAAGAUAAUGCUAGCCAGAACAUAGCCCCUCCAUCUAAGCAGGAUUAUUUAACAGUACCAUAUACACUUGGCAGCAUGAAAUUAACAAAGGAUGUAGGAAAGCUCACGAGAAAAAACUAGCAUACCAAAGAAUGCCAAAUCUAUUUAACAACCUGAGGAACGAGAAGGAUCAGAAAGAAGACCUGGAAAGAUCUAGUAUCUACAGAAUACCGUUUGAGUAUCAAGAUACUCAUCAAAAAGUAGCGUAUAUAGGCAUGACAAUAAGAACUCUGGGUCAAAGGCUUAAGGAGCACAAGAGGGAUAUAAUAAAGGUGAAUCUGAACACAGCACCAGCAACUGAGGCCUAUAAUGCAGACAUAACAAUGGAUUGGUGCAACGCUAAGAUCGUAAAGCAAAUUAGA